AUUUUUAUACAGUGGCAGUAUUGUAAUCAGUGAGGUUUAUCCAAGGCAUGUUUAUUGCUAAUUGAAAACUUUUCUGUCAGGCCUAGCCAAGAACAACAACACAAUCCAGUCAAAGUUCAGGGUUGUUUUUUAAAAAAAAUUGUUU